rnacentral:rRNA from 1 species
GAUGAACGCUGGCGGCGUGCUUAACACAUGCAAGUCGAACGGGAAUUACUUUAUUGAAACUUCGGUCGAUAUGAUUUAAUUCUAGUGGCGGACGGGUGAGUAACGCGUGGGUAACCUGCCUUGUACAGGGGGAUAACAGUCAGAAAUGACUGCUAAUACCGCAUAAGCGCACAGAGCUGCAUGGCUCGGUGUGAAAAACUCCGGUGGUAUAAGAUGGACCCGCGUUGGAUUAGCUAGUUGGUGAGGUAACGGCCCACCAAGGCGACGAUCCAUAGCCGGCCUGAGAGGGUGAACGGCCACAUUGGGACUGAGACACGGCCCAGACUCCUACGGGAGGCAGCAGUGGGGAAUAUUGCACAAUGGGGGAAACCCUGAUGCAGCGACGCCGCGUGAAGGAAGAAGUAUCUCGGUAUGUAAACUUCUAUCAGCAGGGAAGAAAAUGACGGUACCUGACUAAGAAGCCCCGG